rnacentral:rRNA from 1 species
CACGUAGGGGGCGAGCGUUGUCCGGAUUUAUUGGGCGUAAAGAGCUCGUAGGCGGCUCGGUAAGUCGGGUGUGAAACCUCCAGGCUCAACCUGGAGACGCCACCUGAUACUGCUGUGGCUAGAGUCCGGUAGGGGAGUGUGGAACUCCUGGUGUAGCGGUGAAAUGCGCAGAUAUCGGGAGGAACACCGGUGGCGAAGGCGGUUCUCUGGGCCUUACCUGACGCUGAGGAGCGAAAGCGUGGGGAGCGAACAGG